rnacentral:rRNA from 1 species
UACGUAGGGUGCAAGCGUUAUUCGGAAUUAUUGGGCGUAAAGAGCUCGUAGGCGGUUUGUCGCGUCUGCUGUGAAAUCCCGGGGCUUAACCCCGGGCGUGCAGUGGAUACGGGCAGGCUGGAGGCAGGCAGGGGAGAACGGAAUUCCCGGUGUAGCGGUGAAAUGCGCAGAUAUCUGGAGGAACACCGGUGGCGAAGGCGGCAUCCUGGACCGACACUGACGCUGAGGAGCGAAAGCCAGGGGAGCAAACGGG